AGUAACACGUGGGCAAUCUGCCCUAAAGACUGGGAUACCACUUGGAAACAGGUGUUAAUACCGGAUAACAACACGAAUCGCAUGAUUCAAGUUUGAAAGGCGGCGCAAGCUGUCACUUUAGGAUGAGCCCGCGGCGCAUUAGCUAGUUGGUGGGGUAAAGGCCUACCAAGGCAAUGAUGCGUAGCCGAGUUGAGAGACUGAUCGGCCACAUUGGGACUGAGACACGGCCCAAACUCCUACGGGAGGCAGCAGGU
rnacentral:rRNA from 1 species